UACGGGGGGGGGCAAGCGUUGUUCGGAAUUACUGGGCGUAAAGGGUUCGUAGGUGCCAACUAAGUCAGACGUGAAAUCCCUCAGCUUAACUGGGGAACUGCGUCUGAUACUGGUUGGCUUGAGUGCAGGAGAGGAACGCGGAAUUCCAGGUGUAGCGGUGAAAUGCGUAGAUAUCGUCAAGAACACCGAUAGUGAAGACAGCUAACUAAGCUUAACUGACGCUGAGGCACGAAAGUGUGGGGAUCAAACAGG
rnacentral:rRNA from 1 species